rnacentral:rRNA from 1 species
CCUACGGGAGGCAGCAGUGAGGAAUAUUGGUCAAUGGGCGCGAGCCUGAACCAGCCAAGUCGCGUGAAGGAUGACUGCCCUACGGGUUGUAAACUUCUUUUAUAAAGGAAUAAAGUGAGGCACGUGUGCCUUUUUGUAUGUACUUUAUGAAUAAGGAUCGACUAACUCCGUGCCAGCAGCCGCGGUAAUACGGAGGAUCCGAGCUUUAUCCGGAUUUAUUGGGUUUAAAGGGAGCGUAGAUGGGUUGUUAAGUCAGUUGUGAAAGGUUGAGGCUCAACGGUAAAAUUGCAAUUGAUACUGGCAGUCUUGAGUACAGUUGAGGUAGGCGGAAUGCGUGGUGUAGCGGUGAAAUGCGUAGAUAUUAGGAAGAACACCAGUGGCGAAGGCGGCUUUCUGGACUGAAACUGACGCUGAGGCACGAAAGCGUGGGGAGCGAACAGGAUUAGAUACCCGAGUAGUC